GCUGGGUGUGGUGGCUCACGCCUGUAAUCCCAACACUUUGGGAAGCUGAGGCGGGUGGAUCACCUGAGGUCAGGAGUUCAAGACCAGCCUGACCAACAUGGAGAAACCCCGCCUCUA
rnacentral:sRNA from 1 species